CCUUCCCUGCCUCUGCGGUCCCUGAUUCAUUCCCACUGCCAGCUCCAAUACCCCAGGGGCAACGGCAGGAGUCAAAAUACCUCAGAGAACUGGCAAAACCCUCCUCCUGGGCUGAGACCAUGGCAGUCCUAUGGAGAAGACGCAGCCUCAGGCUGUGGUGGGAACGCCAGGGCCCCAGAAGAGCGUGAGGAGAUUUAGCUCUCUGACCUGGGGCACCCCGCAUGCUCAAUGGUCCAAAAGGAUUUCUACCUGUUUUCACACUGCAGUAUCACUGGUACCAGUGACAGCCUCAUCAUUUACCCUGCACUGAAAGAUGGGAAAAGUUCAGUCCCUGGGCCCAGUUUUCCCAGGAGCUGGGCUAGCUCCCGAAGUUUGAUGCUGGCUUUCAUAGCAGUCCUGGGAGUACAGUGAAGGUGGGGAAAUAUCAGUAAGAAUCUGCUGCCUUCCACUAAAUAAAAAACAUAUUUGUCACUA